rnacentral:rRNA from 1 species
GUUGACCUCGGAUCAGGUAGGGAUACCCGCUGAACUUAAGCAUAUCAAUAAGCGGAGGAAAAGAAACCAACAGGGAUUGCCUCAGUAACGGCGAGUGAAGCGGCAAGAGCUCAAAUUUGAAAGCUGGCUCCUUCGGGGUCCGCAUUGUAAUUUGCAGAGGAUGCUUCGGGAGCGGCCCCCAUCUAAGUGCCCUGGAACGGGCCGUCAUAGAGGGUGAGAAUCCCGUCUGGGAUGGGGUGUCCGCGCCCGUGUGAAGCUCCUUCGACGAGUCGAGUUGUUUGGGAAUGCAGCUCUAAAUGGGUGGUAAAUUUCAUCUAAAGCUAAAUACUGGCCGGAGACCGAUAGCGCACAAGUAGAGUGAUCGAAAGAUGAAAAGCACUUUGAAAAGAGAGUUAAACAGCACGUGAAAUUGUUGAAAGGGAAGCGCUUGCGACCAGACUCGCUCGCGGGGUUCAGCCGGCAUUCGUGCCGGUGUACUUCCCCGCGAGCGGGCCAGCGUCGGUUUGGGCGGCCGGUCAAAGGCCCUCGGAAUGUAACGCCCCCCGGGGCGUCUUAUAGCCGAGGGUGCCAUGCGGCCAGCCCGGACCGAGGAACGCGCUUCGGCUCGGACGCUGGCAUAAUGGUCGUAAGCGACC